AAGUUAAAAUUUUUAUUUCAAGAAAUCCUAGGUUCUUUAUAGAGGUGGAAUUUGAAUAAAGGAAAGAAGGUUUUUUGUUUUCUUGUAUUUGAGGCUUCGAAAUUUUUGUUAGAGACCGGGAUUAGAUACCCCGUUAUUUUCUUUGUAAAUUUUGAUUGUAAAAUAAUUUACUUGAGUAUUACGAGCAAUAACGAGCUGGAAAUGUUAGUUAAAUAAAGCUUAAAACUCAAAAAACUUGGCGGUGCUUUAAUUCUUUCCAGGGGAACCUGUCCUGUAAUCGAUAGUCCACGAUUAAACUUACUUUUCUUUGUAUAAUUUUUUUAAUUUAUCAGCUUGUAUACCGUCGUCGUCAGAUUACCUUUAAGAGUAAAAGAAGUUGUCAGAAGAGUGAAGUAUAUUGUUAAAAUUAAAGUUUAGUGGUGUAUUUUUUUUAAAAGAAAUUAGUUGGGCUUUAAAAACAAAUAUAUGGCUUUGAUGUCAGAUCAAGGUGCAGCUUAUGGAAAAGUAGAGAUGGGUUACAAUAAAUAUUUAUUAGACGGAUUUUGGGUUGUAAAAUCUGAUUGAAGGUGGACUUGGGAGUAAUAUAGUAUAAAUAAAUAGAGAGUUUAUGUGAAUAAAGUGCUAAAGUGCGU
rnacentral:rRNA from 2 species